AUUGAACGCUGGCGGCAUGCCUUACACAUGCAAGUCGAACGGCAGCGCGGGGCAACCUGGCGGCGAGUGGCGAACGGGUGAGUAACAUAUCGGAACAUACCCUAGAGUGGGGGAUAACGUAGCGAAAGUUACGCUAAUACCGCAUACGCACUAAGGUGGAAAGUGGGGGAUUCGCAAGAACCUCAUGCUCAUGGAGUGGCCGAUAUCUGAUUAGCUAGUUGGUGAGGUAAAGGCUCACCAAGGCGACGAUCAGUAGCUGGUUUGAGAGAACGACCAGCCACACUGGAACUGAGACACGGUCCAGACUCCUACGGGAGGCAGCAGUGGGGAAUUUUGGACAAUGGGGGGCAACCCUGAUCCAGCAAUGCCGCGUGAGUGAAGAAGGCCUUCGGGUUGUAAAGGUACUCUUUUGUCUAGGAGAAAGGUUAGUGGCUAAUAUCCACAACUGCUGACGGUACCUGAAGAAUAAGCACCGGCUAACUACGUAGCAGCAGCCGCGGU
rnacentral:rRNA from 1 species